CACGGGUUUGGCUCGCCAGUCUUCGCCAUGGCUUUGCUUAGCGAGCAACACUGAGCCUGACUUAUUUGUUGAUGUUUUAAAGUGCAAUUAGGCACUUGUAACAUGGAUUUAAGGUAUCCUAACAUGCAAUUAAGUGUUUGUAACCAUGAUUAAUUGUAUUGUUGAUGAGUGAUGAUGUUUGUUGUUGAUAUUCGUGGAUGAAUCGUAGUGAGUGUGUUAAUGAUGUUUGUUUAAAUACCAAAGAAGAAUAUUAAGAUGUGAAUCAACUUAAUAAAGA
rnacentral:lncRNA from 1 species